CAGCAGCCGCGGUAAUACGUAGGGUGCGAGCGUUAAUCGGAAUUACUGGGCGUAAAGCGUGCGCAGGCGGUUUUGUAAGACAGGCGUGAAAUCCCCGGGCUCAACCUGGGAAUGGCGCUUGUGACUGCAAAGCUAGAGUGCGGCAGAGGGGGAUGGAAUUCCGCGUGUAGCAGUGAAAUGCGUAGAUAUGCGUAGGAACACCGAUGGCGAAGGCAAUCCCCUGGGCCUGCACUGACGCUCAUGCACGAAAGCGUGGGGAGCGAACAGGAUUAGAUACCCCUGUAGUCCCUGUCUCUUAUAC
rnacentral:rRNA from 1 species